GAUGAACGCUGGCGGUAUGCCUAACACAUGCAAGUCGGACGGCAGGACGUUAAUCGCGUGCUCUAACGGUUGGCGACUGGCGGACGGGUGCGGUAUAGAGCGGAAUCUCCUUUGUCGUGGGGGAUAACGAAGGCAAACUUACACUAAUACCGCAUGGAACCUACGUGUGGAAGCAGUGGAGCUUGGUACCUUGCGCGAUUGAAUGAGCCGAUGUCGAGUUAGCUAGUUGGCGGUGUAAAGGCCCACCAAUGCGACGAUCCGUAGCUGGUCUGAGCGGUUGAUCGGCGACAGUGGAACUGGGACACGGUCCAGACUCCUACGGGAAGACGCCGUGGGGAAUAAUGGACAAUGGGAGUAAGCAUGAUCCAGCAAUAGCGCGUGGGUGAAGAAGGCCUUCGGGUGGUAAAGCACUUUUGUUGGGAAAGAAAAGCAGCAGGCUAAUACCCAGAUGUUCUGACGGUACCCAAAGAAUAAGCACCGGCUAACUUCGUG
rnacentral:rRNA from 1 species